rnacentral:rRNA from 1 species
CCCUUAGAUGUCCUGGGCCGCACGCGCGCUACACUGAGUGUCUGAGAUACGAGUCUGCCUGGUCCGGCAAGGUCUAGGUAAUCGCUAAAAGACACAUCAUGCUUGGGAUAGAUUAUUGCAAAUAUUAAUCUUGAACGAGGAAUUCCUAGUAAGCGCGAGUCAACAGCUUGCGUUGAUUACGUCCCUGCCCUUUGUACACACCGCCCGUCGCUACUACUGAUUGGAUGUUUAAGCGAGGUUCUCGAACUGCUAGCGACUUAGCUUCGGUGAGGUCGCAGUGUGGGAAGUGAACCUAGCUUUGGUGUCUAGAGGAAGUAAAAGUCGUAACA